ACUCUCUCAAGGACAUUCUGAGGGUGAUAAACUCAGAGCAUGUGAGAUACAGGACUACAGGACAGGAAAAAAAGGACUCUGCUAAGGCCAUGAAGCCCAGGAACUUUCUCCACAUUCUCUAAUCUUUACACAGUCCUAAAGGAGGCUGUUGCAAUUAGGAUGGCGAAUGGUGAAAAACAGUGUGGUUGAAUUGAACAUAAGCUGAAGGGCUAGACAUCAUGGCUUCAAUCCUUGUGGAGAUGUGGCUGUGACGUGCUGUCUGCCAGCAUUAUGCAUCGAGUUACAUCUCUUCCCGGUUCCACACAUCCUGUGGAUAACUCAAGCGCCAGCCAGCCGUUAAAAUCAUUUCUUCCAAAUGAGGGUGGUGGGACCUGACAUGUGGAUGUUUCCUGCUUCCAAAUCCAAGAAAUGAAGGUAACUGACUCCAAGCUAAAAGAGAAUCAUCCUCAUCUGUGGCAAUCACUUAGCAGUGUCUCUAGCUGCGGCUCUGCAGUGCGUCUGACAACUCAGCUUAUCAGCAAGGAUAAGAAAGCCUGUGGGGUCAGAGCUGAUGGAAGGAGGGGAGCUUGAAUGGUGAAAUGGGGAGGAGGUAGGAGCACCCUGCCUGGAGAUGCAGCCCAGAGGAAUAAUAUGUGAAUCUCACAUGACUCAGCCCUCUGUGCAGGUAAUAAAAUCUCAACGAGACAUGAGCUUAUUUAAGAAAACACGCAGGAAGAAUUCAUCAUUGAUGUGGCUAUUUUGGGAGAUGAAAGGGAGCGUGAAACGGAGGAACAUGUGAAAAGCAUUCAAGCUGAGUGAGUGUGAUAGAAAACUAAGAUUUCCCUUCAUAAUUGAACAGUAAAAA
rnacentral:lncRNA from 1 species